rnacentral:rRNA from 1 species
UACGGAGGAUCCAAGCGUUAUCCGGAUUCAUUGGGUUUAAAGGGUGCGUAGGCGGAAUGAUAAGUCAGUGGUGAAAGCCUGCAGCUUAACUGCAGAACUGCCAUUGAUACUGUCAAUCUUGAGUACAUUUGAUGUGGGCGGAAUGUGUCAUGUAGCGGUGAAAUGCUUAGAUAUGACACAGAACACCGAUUGCGAAGGCAAUCCCUCGGUCGUC